rnacentral:rRNA from 1 species
UACGAAGGGUGCAAGCGUUAAUCGGAAUUACUGGGCGUAAAGGGUGCGUAGGCGGUUCGUUAAGUCUGUUGUGAAAUCCCCGGGCUCAACCUGGGAAUGGCAAUGGAUACUGGCGGGCUAGAGUGUGUCAGAGGAUGGUGGAAUUCCCGGUGUAGAGGUGAAAUUCGUAGAUAUCGGGAGGAACACCAGUGGCGAAGGCGGCGACCUGGGCCAAUAUUGACGCUGAGGUGCGAAAGCGUGGGGAGCAAACAGG